ensembl:lncRNA
GCCAAGCACACCUACAUCUCCUUAUAUAUAUAUAUAUAUGUAUGUAUAUAUAAUUUUUUUUUUGUAAGAGAUGUCAAGUUUAAUGAGAUUUGUGGGGUUCUCAAUGUCAUUCACAACUCCUUCUGCCCAGUUGCGUGGCUGUUGUCUCAGGAGAUCCCUUUCUUCUUGCUUAUCUCUUUGGACUUGAGGUCACCGACAACCAGAGGAAGAAACCCUGGGGUGCCUGCAUGCAAAUCCCUCUGUUCAGCUCAUUGCUUCAGUGAUAGAUGGAUCCUGGAUGGUGCACAUACCCAUUUUGUACGCUUGUCACAGGACAAGGGAGAGAAGCUUGCGCCUCCUACUCCCCAUUUUACCUGGGGUGGGACCGGUGUGCUUUCUAAAGGAGAAGCAACCUGCAGUUCUGCUGUGGACAUGAGAAGGGUGAUGAAGAAGGGAAAAUUAGGGGAAAACAGCUUUCCUUCAGCAGCAUCUCCCUUGCAAAUGCUCCUCGCCCCACAUCCAGAAGUUUGCCAGAGCUGGGUGAGUCUCUGAUGUGCGUUGACC